CAGGCAUUAAUCCUGUGAUCCUUAUCUGAAGCUCAGGCUAAAUAGGGGAGUAGAAUGGGAAUGUGAUAAAAAGUACCACCUCUGCAUCCUUCAAGUCCUUGAUGGUGGUACUAAUCUCUGCAAGCUCUACAAGAAUGCAGUAUUGUUUUUGGUUUGCUGUUUUUCUAGAUAGAGGCAGGUAAGUGGCUUCCACUUUAUAGCGUAAUUGCCCUCACUCUUCAGGUCAGGAAACCAGUGUAGGGAUUCUGCUAAUUGUUGAGUAUGUCUAUUCCAAUUAUUCUGCAGCUACAGAGAUAACAAGACGACCCACUGCAAGACAGACCUAAACUAAAACUCCAUUGAUCACCUAACCUCCCUAAGCCCCUACUCUCACUUGUGAACCAGAGUGAUGCAUUAGUUUUCCUGGGGUACCCUGAGUCUGAGUUCAGAACCAAUGUCCAGUAAUUCCCCCAAAGUCUGAUUAUUCCCUUUUCCCCAAUGCACAGUCAACUUGGUAAAGUGCUAUAGGUCCCUUUGGGGAAGGCUGAGAGAAAAAUGAACAGUAUACAAUUUUGGUAAUGCAGUGGGGACACAGCCUCCUCAUUAUUUAAGGAGAUAUGGGUCUGCAAACUGGCCCAAGUCUUGGAAUUGAUUCAGGAGCUGUGACUCCGUUUUUUUGAUUCGAGUUAGACUUUUAUUCACUUGAUUCUUCUUUUUAUACAGAACAGAUAAGAAUUUAGUAGGCUUUCCAUCUCUUUUAUUUCUAUGGAUACUAUGACCAGCUAGCUAAUGCCAUAAGUCUCUGUAAAUCGGACUUUCUAACUACAGUUUUGACUUUACUGUCCAUUACAGUAACCAUGUUCACCUUGUCUUUGGUGAUUAAAUGCUGCCACUUGGCCCCUGCCAUCCUGGGAUCCAGUUACUCUCCUUAUACUUAAGAAUCCCAUUCAGUGGCAGCAGUUCCCACUGUAAUUUCUGACCUAUACAGAAGAGCAACCACAGAGCUCUUUAAAAAUAUUGGAACUCCCUCACAAAUUUAUUUCUCAUAGUCAUAACAGAAAGUGUGUCCUGAGCUAGAUGUGGUAGCUCACACCUAUAAUCCCAGCACCUUGGGUGGCCAAGGUAGGAGAAUCGCUUGAGCUCAGGAGUUUGAAGCCUGCUUGGGCAACGUAGCAAGACCUUGCCUCUAUAAAAAUUUUUAAAAUUAGCCAGGUAUGAUGGUGCAUAUAGUCCCAGCUACUCAGGAGGCUGAGGCAGGAGGGUCUCUUGAGCCCAGGAGUUUGAGGGUACAGUGUGCUAUGGUCACACCACUGCACUCCAGCCUGGGCAAUAGAGUGAGCCCUGACUCUAAAAAAUAAUAAUAAAUAGAAAAAGAAAGCAUGUCCUCUUGUUAAAGAUUUUUCAAUGACACUUGUUCAAGGAUGGUAAGGCUGACUUUUUCAAGAUCAUCAGAAUAGAUACAGGGACCAAUGCAAUAGCAUUUUACAGCGAGGGAGAGAGAUUGGGCUCAACUCUGAAUACAGUUUGGGUAAGUGGGAAUUUAUUGCCAAGGAGUAGGGUGGGGGUCAGUGGAUUGAAAAUUACUAAGAGGAAACUUCAAGAGUAAGGAAAGAUUCUGGCUUAACUGACCUAACAGGAUUCUUGCUGAAAACAGGCUGGGGUGUUGAGACACUACCUGGGAGAUGGUGGAGGAUGAAGCCCUGAUCAGAUAUGGAGGAUGAUCAGAUAUUGAGCAUGGAGGUUCUUUUUUUUUUUAUGCUUUAAGUUCUAGGGUACAUGUGCACAACGUGCAGGUUUGUUACAUAUGUAUACAUGUGCCAUGUUGGUGUGCUGCACCCAUCAACUCGUCAUUUACAUUAGGUAUUUCUCCUAAUGCUAUCCUUCCCCCCUCUUCCCAUCCCACAACAGGCCCCAGUGUGUGAUGUUCCCCGCCCUGUGUCCAUGUGUUCUCAUUGUUCAAUUCCCACCUAUGAGUGAGAACAUGCGGUG
rnacentral:lncRNA from 10 species